UUAAGUUCAGCGGGUAUUCCUACCUGAUCCGAGGUCAACCUUGGAAAGUUGGGGGUUUUACGGCGUGGUCGAACCGCUCUCCGGUGCGAGGUGUGCUACUACGCAGGGGAGGCUGCGGCGCGACCGCCACUGUAUUUGGGGGACAGGGGCCCGAGGGCCGCUGAUCCCCAGCACCAGGUCCCCCCCGAAAGGGGGCCCUG
rnacentral:misc_RNA from 1 species